rnacentral:lncRNA from 1 species
UGAUAACACAUCAAAAUAUAAAAGCAAACUCACAAAUAUAAUAAACCUCUUAAAAAUAGUACGAAGUAUCAAUUUCAUACAGGAAGUAAAACAUUAAAAUCGCCAUAAUCUCAAACACAAUUCUACUUAUAAGGCAAAAUGUGAUAAUAUUCCUGCCAUCUUUGAGAAAAAAAAUGAAAAGUUCUUUUCUUGAAAAUUUCUAAUGGCUGCUUUAUGAUGGAGUAAGGACUAGAGAGUAAUAGUAGUAUGAGUGGUCAUAUUACACUGAUCUUCAGUGGGUGUUUACACCAGAUUAUAAUGCCUCUCAAACACUGCUGUCUGGCGGACAGUCCUCAACGACUCUUCGUAAGGUCUAGCUGAUCGAACUAUCAGAAAAUCCAGAGUCAGCUAAUGAUUUUAACAUCAUCAUACAUGCAACAAUAAACUGUUGCCUUUCAUGCUUAUAAUUACAUUGAAACGUAACCGUAUAUGUUAAUAAUUUCCAUAAAACAUAAUGUUUACAAUUUAAUAAGAUGAGUGGUUGCUUCCUCUCUAAGAUGUUUUCACCUUAAGUACUCACAUGUACUGAAAGAUUCGUGUAAGCCCAAAUUAAAACCGAUUGAAGACAUCACUAUUGAAACUCUUUCUUAAUUUUUUACCAUUGCCUUUUCUCAAAAUCUUAAAGUUUGAUUAACUUAAUAAUUAAGAUUUAUUUUUAUAUUUUCGAUCUCUAUUAAGUGAAUUAUUAGAUAUAAAACACUCUCAAGAAAACUACUAAAGAAAUUGUGAAUAUUUUAACCAAAUGAAAUAGUAAAAAAGACUUAUUUAUAAUGAAAUGUUAUGAGUAGUAGAAAAGACUCAAUUAAAAAAUAGAUAUUAGGAAUAGUAGAAAAGACUCAAUUUAUUAUGAGAUGUUAGGAGUAGUAGAAAAGACCCAAUUUAUAUAUGAGAUAUUUUUAUUUUUUUAAACAAAAUUAUUGUACUAUUUAAUUAAUUAGAUUAUGUAUAAUAUUUUGAUUUAGUGUAGGAAUAAAAUGAUAGCAUUUUAGUGCUUUUCACUUUUAGUAUAAAAUAUGAUAUGAUGAUUAACAUUUAUAUAUAUACUAGUAAAGAAAGCCCGGGCGCUGCUCGGGCCCAACAUUAAUAAAGUUAUAUUAUUACUCUCUCCGUCCCAUAUUAGAUGAGAAUCUUACUAAAAAUAUUAUUUUCAUAUUAUUUGAGCACUUAUUAAAUUAGGAUAAAAUUAAUUAAUUCUUUUCCAUUUUACCCCUACAAUUAAUAUGACCAUUCCUAUAUUGUAUGUGUAUUUUUUGUAACUCAUUUCAAUGUGCAUUGAUAUAAACAAAGGGCAAAAUGGUGAAGUCUUCCAAUGUAUUAAUGAUUUCUUAAUCACCGUGUAAAGUUGGAAGUGUCCAUCUAAUAUGGGACGGAGGGAGUAUAGUUUAUGUAUUGUUAUAAAAUCAGUAAAGAUUGUUAUAAUAUAUUUUGCUCAUAAGUGAGCUAUUAUAGAAACUUAUUUGUGAUUUGUCUUUUUAAUUUCAAUUUUAAAUAGCAAAUAAAUGUAGCGAUAAGAUUGAGGGUAGAAAUGAAGCAUAUCUUUCUAAAUUUAAGUAAAAAUAAACAGAGUAGAAGUAACAUUAGGGUUAUCGAUAGGACGAUUCAUUCGGUUAUUUUAAAAAAAAUUAUAUCAUUCAAUUUUUCGGCUAUUUUAUAAUGUAUAACCAAAAUUAAAAUUUUAAAAUCAUCCCAAUCCUAAUAUAUGUGACACAAGCAGUACAAAAAUUAGUCUUUUUUUUGUUGUCUUGUAGAUAUUUUAAGUUAUUAUUUAUUGUAAAUUAUAGUACUUUUUAUUAAAGUUUUUAAUAACAUAUGUUACUUUUUAUGUUUGAGAGUUAAACCAACUUUUUUUAUAUGUCUUUUAAUCUUAUAUGUGUUUUGUCCUUUUCCAUUUUCAAAAAUUAAUACUCUCUCUAUUUUAUUUUAUAUGUCAUUUCUUUUUAUAAAUAUAUUGGUUAUUCCCUCUUCUUAUUGGAACACAUGUUGACUUGUGGUGAAUACUUAUUCCCUCUUCUUAUAUAGUAAUAUAUAUUAAGAUGAGUAAUCAUAUGUACUAAAGCUUCAUGUAAGUAGAGGUGGAUCGGAGAAUUAAAUUAAUGAAUUCAAGCUUUUAAAAUUUUCAGUGUCGAAAUUAUUACACUGUUAAAUUAUUAGUUCUAAUCUAAUACCUGAUAAGAUUUUAAUAAGUUAUUAUAAUGAAAGUUACGUCCGUAUUUUAGAUUUUUGUUAGUAACAAUAAUAUUAGUGUUCUUGCAAUAGACAGUUAAGAAAUUAAAUUAAGAUAAGCUUUGAUAAUAUUUACUUUCAGCGUGUGCUUUCUCAAACAUGCAUGCGGCACUCCACAGUACCAAGGACAGAGAGAUAGGAGUGCAAGGGUGUUUAUCUUAAUAUUAAAAAUUACAAUGAAUAUAUAAACAUUAUAUUUUGAAUCUCACUUUAAUUAAAAAAAUAUUUUAAAUUUCUUUAAUGAAAAUCUUGACUCUUUUCACAGUACACUCUAAAAAGGAUGGUUGUUUGGUACGCGGGAUAAUGUGGGAUAUUUAAAUUUGGGAUUAAAUUAAUUUAUAUUGUAUUUAGUUGACGUUAUAAAUUUAUCCCUGAAUAUCAGACCCUUACCCAAUCAAACUUAUAAUUAUUUUAUGGAUAAACUAGUACAUGAAUUAUAAUUGCGAAAUAACUUGGUCCGUGUACUAAUCGAAUAGCAAGUUCAUCAAAGUAGACCCUGCUACUCCAAUGCAUAGGUAUGUAAAGAAGACAAAGUAAAACAUUGUUUUAUGAAGUAAAAAAAUCCGGAGGAAGACGAAAUGCACUGUAAGGAAAAAUAAAUGACACAUCACACAAGGAAUAUAAAAUUAGUAGAAAAGGCAUACAUUAUAAAUAGUAGUAGUUGUCUUAGAUAGCAAAUAUAUUACAUAUAGUCAAGUAAGUAUCAUGAGGAAAAAAAUAGUCAAGGAUGACAGCAUUAAAAGGCAUGGUGUUUACAAGAAUUUAAAUAAAAGUAGUAACAAAUUGUAGGCUGCAAGUUUUACCAAAAAAAGAGAAAAAAUGUGUUGCCAUAUUAGAUAUGUCUUUAGACUAGAUAGGAGGAGUAUUGUCAAGUGUGGCAACCGCUACUAUAGUAUAGUAUUAUAAAGGAUUUUAAUCGUACGUGAAAGAUGGCUGUCUCACAAUUCAUUCGUUAUAAAUACUCAUUUCUUCCUCUUACAAUUCCAUCAUCACUUGUUCAGUUCUCUACUACAAAUACAUUAUACAAAGAAAGGAAAUUCUCUCUGUUUUUCCACAAGCAAAGAGUAUACUAUAAAUGGCCUCAGCUGCUGCAGUAAUGAAUAACUACGGAGAGGAGGACAUUGUUCGACCUGUUGCUGACUUCUCUCCAAGUCUUUGGGGUGAUCGUUUCCAUUCGUUCUCCCUCGACAAUCAGGUAUCUAUUUAUUUUGUACAAGUCUUUCAUUUUCUUUAUCUUGUUGGAUGAAUACGGACAUUCAUUUCUGACUUUGAAUGUAAUGUAACAUACAUUUUAAUUUCUUUUUAAAUAUAUUUGCAGAUUGCUGGAAAAUAUGCUCAAGAGAUCGAUACUUUGAAGGAACAAUCAAGGCUUAUAUUAUCUGCAUCUUAUAUAAGAACAUUGGCUGAGAAAUUGGAUCUGAUAGACAUUGUUGAGCGCCUUGGUAUUGCUUAUCAUUUUGAGAAACAAAUAGACGAUAUGUUGGAUCAAAUUUACAAAGCAGAUCCUAAUUUUGAGGCUCAUGAAUACAAUGAUUUACAAACUUUAUCCGUUCAAUUUCGACUAUUGAGACAACAUGGUUACAAUAUCUCCCCAAGUAGGUCUAUUAUACACAUGUUUUUCGUUUAUUGUUAUAUUUAUGUUUCUAGCUUAAACCAAGGAAUUUUUUAUUAUCUUUUUCACUUUUACUUACUAAAAGUUAAUCUUUUAUUUUUGUUCAUGAUCCAGAACUUUUUAGCAGAUUCCAAGAUGCAAAAGGCAAAUUUAACGAAUCUCUUAGUAACGACAUCAAGGGUCUUUUGAACUUAUACGAAGCCUCACAUGUAAGGACUCAUGGAGAAGAUAUUUUGGAAGAGGCACUUGCUUUCUCUACUGCUCAUCUUGAAUCUGCAGCUCCACAUUUGAAGUCACCUCUGAGUAAGCAAGUCACACAUGCCCUUGAGCAAUCUCUCCAUAAGAGCAUUCCAAGAGUUGAGACACGAUACUUCAUCUCUAUCUACGAAGAGGAGGAACAGAAGAAUGAUGUGCUGCUUCGAUUUGCCAAACUGGACUUCAACUUACUUCAAAUGUUGCACAAACAAGAACUAAGCGAAGUAUCAAGGUACACUAAUAAUUUACAUUAACAAUAUAAAUUACUUGUUACUCGAUAAUAAUUUCUCAAAUCAAUUCUAAAUUUUUAAGAUUGAUUCUUAUUUUAUAGGUGGUGGAAAGAUUUGGAUUUUGUGACAACACUUUCAUAUGCUAGGGAUAGAGCAGUGGAAUGUUACUUUUGGACGAUGGGGGUGUAUGCUGAACCUCAAUACUCUCAGGCUCGUGUCAUGCUUGCUAAGACUAUAGCAAUGAUUUCUAUAGUAGAUGACACAUUCGAUGCUUAUGGCAUUGUAAAAGAACUUGAGAUCUACACCGAUGCCAUACAGAGGUAUGGACUACUUCUCAAACCAUUUUAUCAUUUAAUUGGAAGACCCCAUAAAGGCGGGAAAAGACCAUAUCAAACAACAUAUUUGUGUUCAAUUUCAUAUAUUCCCNNNNNNNNNNNNNNNNNNNNNNNNNNNNNNNNNNNNNNNNNNNNNNNNNNNNNNNNNNNNNNNNNNNNNNNNNNNNNNNNNNNNNNNNNNNNNNNNNNNNNNNNNNNNNNNNNNNNNNNNNNNNNNNNNNNNNNNNNNNNNNNNNNNNNNNNNNNNNNNNNNNNNNNNNNNNNNNNNNNNNNNNNNNNNNNAACCAAUUGUGAAGCUUUUUCUCCCAAUUUUUGUUUGUAAUGAAAUUUAUUCUUUGAAGAAGUACGGACGUUUGAAUUUCUUUUGGUUGUUAUCGACAGAUGAAAGAAAUCGUGAGAAACUAUUUUGUGGAAGCAAAAUGGUUCAUUGAAGGAUAUAUGCCGCCAGUCUCUGAGUAUCUUAGCAAUGCAUUAGCUACCAGCACUUAUUACUUGCUUACGACUACAUCUUAUUUGGGCAUGAAGUCUGCUAACAAGGAAGAUUUUGAAUGGUUGGCCAAGAAUCCUAAAAUUCUUGAGGCUAAUGUGACGUUAUGCCGAGUCAUUGAUGACAUAGCCACCUAUGAGGUUGAGAAGGGUAGAGGUCAGAUUGCAACUGGAAUUGAAUGUUACAUGAGAGAUUAUGGUGUAUCCACAGAAGAGGCCAUGGAAAAAUUCCAAGAAAUGGCUGAGACAGCAUGGAAGGAUGUAAAUGAAGGAAUCCUUCGACCAACUCCCGUCUCUACAGAGAUUCUCACUCGCAUUCUCAAUCUUGCUCGCAUUAUCGAUGUCACUUAUAAGCACAAUCAAGAUGGAUACACUCAUCCGGAAAAAGUACUAAAACCUCAUAUUAUUGCGUUGUUGGUGGACUCUAUUGAAAUUUAAAUCAUCGAUUGUUUUGUACAUCUGGGAGCACUUGCUUCCCAUCCCCUAAAAUUAUAAGUAUUUGAUUGAUGCCUUGUUGGUAUCUAUGCUGCUACCUAAGAUAGGAGUUGCUGGAGAUGCAUGUUAUAGUGCAGUGCAGUUAAUUCCUAAAUUUUUUUUGUAUCAUUAUUGACAUUUUAAAUAUAUAUAUAUAUCACUGCUUUUUAUAGCUACUCUUUUUAGCUAGAGAUUUCAGAUUAAAUCGGUGUCACUUCAGCAGUUGCAACAGAUCCUGAUUAACCGUAAGUAAUGGUGAGUUAAUGUCAAAAUAAGCCCAUGAUAACACAUCAAAAUAUAAAGAGAAGCAAACUCACAAAUAUAAUAAACCUCUUAAAAAUAAUACGAAGUAUCAAUUUCAUACUGGAAGUAAAACAUUAAAAUCGCCAUAAUCUCAAACACAAUUCUACUUAUAAGGCAAAAUGUGAUAAUAUUCCUGCCAUCUUUGAGAAAAAAAUGAAAAGUUCUUUUCUUGAAAAUUUCUAAUGGCUGCUUUAUGAUGGAGUAAGGACUAGAGAGUAGAAGUAGUAUGAGUGGUCAUAUUACACUGAUCUGCAGUGGGUGUUUACACCAGAUUAUAAAGCCUCUCAAACACUGCUGUCUGGCGGACAGUCCUCAACGACCCUUCGUAAGGUCUAGCUGAUCGAACUAUCAGAAAAUCCAGAGUCAGCU